UUGCAACCUCCUAGCAGACACUCAGACAGUCACCCUGCAGACUCGAGGAGCGGUGUUUGGCACUAGUGAUUUGGUUGAUUUUUCUAAGAUUGAUAUGGACUUUAGAGUGGCAUUUGGAAAUGGAAAUGGACUUAUUGAUGGAUGGGACAGCAAUAAUUUCGAAAGAAUUAUCUCCUUUCUUCGGUGUGAAAGUCAUAUCAAGAAUAAAACAAAUAAAUUUUUAUUUGAAAAGAUACUCAAAGAUACUAAAAGAUACCCAUGAAGACAUUACGGAAUAUGGCUAACAUGCAGUUAUUCUUUGGGUUCUACAUCGUAAUUUUAUACGAACUAAUAAAAUAUACCAUCAGAGAUUUCCAGUAAUUAUUCUUACAUCGGGAAGACCCAGCAAGAAGUCGAAGAUCAUAUUAGAUUUUUGAAAACAAAGAAAAAUGCCAUUCAACCAUUUGUUUUUUGUAUGGGUGGUGAUAAUUAAUCCCAGAGAGAUGUAUUUAUGGAGAUGUUAUUGUAGAUGUAUUUAUUUUCACGA